rnacentral:rRNA from 1 species
AUUGAACGCUGGCGGAAUGCUUUACACAUGCAAGCCGAACGGCAGCACGGGUGCUUGCACCUGGUGGCGAGUGGCGAACGGGUGAGUAAUACAUCGGAACGUACCCAGUUAUGGGGGAUAACUAACCGAAAGGUUAGCUAAUACCGCAUACGCCCUGAGGGGGAAAGCGGGGGACCGUAAGGCCUCGCGUAAUUGGAGCGGCCGAUGUCUGAUUAGCUAGUUGGUGAGGUAAAGGCUCACCAAGGCGACGAUCAGUAGCAGGUCUGAGAGGAUGAUCUGCCACACUGGAACUGAGACACGGUCCAGACUCCUACGGGAGGCAGCAGUGGGGAAUUUUGGACAAUGGGCGAAAGCCUGAUCCAGCCAUUCCGCGUGAGUGAAGAAGGCCUUCGGGUUGUAAAGCUCUUUCGGCAGGGAAGAAACGCUCUGGGAUAAUACUCCGGGGUAAUGACGGUACCUGAAGAAGAAGCACCGGCUAACUACGUGCCAGCAGCCGCAGUAA